rnacentral:rRNA from 1 species
AGAAUCAACGCUGGCGGCGUGCCUAACACAUGCAAGUCGAACGAGAAAGUGGAGCAAUCCAUGAGUAAAGUGGCGCACGGGUGAGUAACACGUGACUAACCUACCCUUGAGUGGGGGAUAACCUAGAGAAAUCUGGGCUAAUACCGCAUAAUACCUUCGGGUCAAAGGAGCAAUUCGCUUAAGGAGGGGGUCGCGGCUGAUUAGCUAGUUGGCGGGGUAACGGCCCACCAAGGCGAAGAUCGGUAGCCGGCCUGAGAGGGCGCACGGCCACACUGGAACUGAAACACGGUCCAGACUCCUACGGGAGGCAGCAGUGGGAAUUUGCGCAAUGGGGGAAACCCUGACGCAGCAACGCCGCGUGGAGGAUGAAGCCCCUUGGGGCGUAAACUCCUUUCGACCAAGACGAUAAUGACGGUACUGGUGGAAGAAGCACCGGCUAACUCUGCGCCAGCAGCCC